rnacentral:snoRNA from 2 species
AAACCAUGGUGGGGACAAAGUCUAAGCAUUUUCUUAAAACGUUCCCACACAUCAUAUAGAGAUUCCCCUUCUUUUUGGUUGAAUCGCGUGACUUGAUCUCUUAGUUU